GCCUUAUGGUGCAUUUGAUUGAUGAUGAGGGGACAGAAUGACGGAUAUAGAGUGGGCUGCACAUCGACAAAGGCAGAAUUCAUUAAAAUCAUCGGUAGAACCAAGGAGCCUUUGGUUGUAAUAUUCCACCAAUGAAAUGAAAUGGACAUGCAGAGGUAAUCUCAGAAUGGCCUUCCGUGAAGUCGAGCAUGCGUAUUCCAGUAAAAAAGACGGCGUAGAUGUUAGAGAAAAAAGCAAUUGGAGGCAUAUCUGAACCGUUAGGAAGGUCAAACUUCCAGAUGAAGAUAAGAGUUUAAAAAAGUUGUUGUCAACCACGUACUUGUCACACAAAGCAGAUAAAC